rnacentral:tRNA from 1 species
CGGAGAGUAGUCCGUAAGUGGAAGCGGGCCGCUCUGUAAAAGCGGUGCUUAAGUGCCUUGGGUGUUCGAUUCGCCCCUCUCCGA